rnacentral:rRNA from 1 species
GUAAUCAAUUUUUACUUAACUUACACAUGCAAGUCUCCGCACACCCGUGAAAACGCCCUUCUACCCACUUAGGAACAAGGAGCUGAUAUCAGGCUCUUAUUGCCCAAGACAUCUAGCCACGCCACACCCAUAAGGGCCCUCAGCAGUGAUUAACAUUAAGAAUAAACGUCAGUUUGACUUAGUUAAAUGAAAAAGAGCCGGCCAAUCUGGUGCCAGCCGCCGCGGUUACACCAUGAGACUCAAAUUGAUUCCAACACGGCGUAAAGCGUGAUUAAAGAAAUUAACUGCUGGAGUUUAAAUUUAACUGUAAUACGAAUAUUCUUAAGAAGCCCCUCCUCGAAAGACACUCCAACUAAACAACUUGA